UUUGGUGAUUAUAGCGGUGAGGAUCACCUCUUCCCAUUUCGAACAGAGAAGUUAAGCUCACUGGCGCAGAUGAUACUGCCACUGGCGGGAAAGUAUGUAGUCGCCAAAU
rnacentral:rRNA from 1 species